rnacentral:rRNA from 1 species
UACGUAGGGUCCGAGCGUUAUCCGGAUUCACUGGGUUUAAAGGGUGCGUAGGAGGGCAGGGAAGUCAGUGGUGAAAUCUCCGGGCUUAACUCGGAAACUGCCGUUGAUACUCUCUGUCUUGAAUCCCGUGGAGGUGAGCGGAAUAUGUCAUGUAGCGGUGAAAUGCUUAGAUAUGACAUAGAACACCAAUUGCGAAGGCAGCUCGCUACACGAAGAUUGACUCUGAGGCACGAAAGCGUGGGGAUCAAACAGG